UACGGAGGGGGCUAGCGUUGUUCGGAAUUACUGGGCGUAAAGCGCACGUAGGCGGUUUGGAAAGUUGGGGGUGAAAUCCCGGGGCUCAACCCCGGAACUGCCUUCAAAACUCCCAGUCUGGAGGUCGAGAGGGGUGAGUGGAAUUCCGAGUGUAGAGGUGAAAUUCGUAGAUAUUCGGAGGAACACCAGUGGCGAAGGCGGCUCACUGGCUCGAUACUGACGCUGAGGUGCGAAAGCGUGGGGAGCAAACAGG
rnacentral:rRNA from 1 species